rnacentral:rRNA from 1 species
ACGAACGCUGGCGGCGUGCUUAACACAUGCAAGUCGAGCGGUAAGGCCCUUUCGGGGGUACGACGAGCGGCGAACGGGUGAGUAACACGUGGGUGACCUGCCCUCCAGCUCUGGGAUAAGCCUGGGAAACCGGGGUCUAAUACUGGAUAUGACUCCAUGACGCAUGUUGUGGGGUGGAAAGCCUUGUGCGGCUGAGGAUGGGCCCGCGGCCUAUCAGCUUGUUGGUGGGGGUGAGGCCUACCAAGGCGACGACGGGUAGCCGGCCUGAGAGGGCGGACCGGCCGACACUGGGACGUGAGACACGG